GACGAACGCUGGCGGCGUGCUUAACACAUGCAAGUCGAACGAAGUGGCGCACGGGUGAGUAACGCGUAAUCAACCUGCCCUUCAGAGGGGGACAACAGUUGGAAACGACUGCUAAUACCGCAUACUGAAGGGGGGGUUUGUGUCUGAUUAGCUCGUUGGAGGGGUAACGGCCCACCAAGGCGAUGAUCAGUAGCCGGGCUGGGGGGAGUGACGGCCACAUUGGGACUGAGACAAGGCCCAGACUCCUACGGGAGGGAGCAGUUGGGAAUAUUCCGCAAUGGACGAAAGUCUGACGGAGCAACGCCGCGGGAGUGGUAACGGCCUUCGGGUUGUAAAGCUCUGUUAAUCGGGACGCGGUACCGGAAUAGAAAGCCACGGCUAACUACGUGCCAGCAGCCGCGGUAAUAC
rnacentral:rRNA from 1 species